AUGCGGGCCGCGUCUUCGUAUCCUCGGCCAUGCUGGCAGCGAUGCGGUCUGGCGUCGGCGCCGACGGAGUACCCGUCUUCUCCCCUGCAUCGCGAGCGCGGAGCCGUCCUGCCUACAUCGGGGUUGCUCGCCACAUGGCCAACCCGAGGUGGAGACACUGCGACCAGAUUCAUGUAUAGCCAUCUCUCUGGAAUUCUAGAGUGGCCCGCGGACGAGCAGGAGCAGCUGUCUCACAUCUCGAGUUUCUACUGCAGACCGUCCGCAGAGGACGUCUGUAUAGAUCCAAUCGCCAUCGUAUAUCCUUUUUGCAAGUCAUGGGUACCUGCAUGCGUCCCUCCCAAUUACAAUCAGAAUUUCUAUAACAUAGAGGUGAUGGCUCCAGAAAUCAGGCGAUUCAGACAGAGAUGUCGGAGACGGUUGGAGGCUUCCAACAUCUUGCCAAAACAAACUGCUGAGUGCCUACUGCCUAACAAAGAUGAAGAAGCCAUGUCUAUCUUCUCAUCAGAAGGAGCAGUUGAAGGAUGGUUACAUUACUCCCCACAAGACCAAACUAACUUCAGCUCAGAAGGACUGACGAAUCUCCAUUUUUUUGUUGUGAUGCGCGAGUACAAUGUUGUUCUAGGAUUCUUUCUGCUUGAUUUCAAUGGGAACUGCAUAAAAUGUUUAUGA
rnacentral:rRNA from 1 species